ensembl:misc_RNA 7SK 7SK RNA
GGAUGUGAGGGCAAUCUGGCUGACAUCUGUCACUCCACUGAUCACCAGGGUUGAUUGGCUGAUCUGGCUGGCUAGGUGGGUGUCCCCUUCCUCCCUCCAUGUGUGUCCCUUCCGAAGCUGUGCACUCAGUGGAAGAGGACGACCUUCCCCAACUAAAGGAGGACCAGUCUUCGGUCAUGGGUAUCCCUGUAGCUACACUCCCCUGCUAGAAUCUCCAGGCAAGCUCUCAAGAACAUUAUUCACCAGAGACAACGAUCCACUUAGAGACUGUACAACAUAGUGGUUCAAGU